rnacentral:rRNA from 1 species
GAUGAACGCUAGCGGGAGGCUUAACACAUGCAAGUCGAGGGGUAAAUGGUAGCAAUACUAUGAGACCGGCGGACGGGUGCGUAACGCGUAUGCAACAUACCUUUAGCAGGGGGAUAGCCCGUGGAAACGCGGAUUAAUAUUCCAUAGUCCAGCAGUAUCGCAUGGUACCACUGGUAAAGAUUAAUCGGCUAAAGAUUGGCAUGCGUCUGAUUAGUUAGUUGGUAGGGUAACGGCCUACCAAGGCGACGAUCAGUAGGGGUUCUGAGAGGAUUACCCCCCACACUGGUACUGAGACACGGACCAGACUCCUACGGGAGGCAGCAGUGAGGAAUAUUGGUCAAUGGGCGGAAGCCUGAACCAGCCAUCCCGCGUGAAGGAAGACAGCCUUACGGGUUGUAAACUUCUUUUCUGUUUUGAAGAAUAAGCCCGUUGAGACGGGUGAUGCCGGUAGGACAGGAAUAAGCAUCGGCUAACUCCGUG